rnacentral:rRNA from 1 species
UACGUAGGGGGCAAGCGUUGUCCGGAAUCAUUGGGCGUAAAGAGCGUGUAGGCGGCUCGGUAAGUCCGCUGUGAAAGUCCAGGGCUCAACCCUGGAAUGCCGGUGGAAACUGUCGAGCUAGAGUCCGGAAGAGGCGAGUGGAAUUCCUGGUGUAGCGGUGAAAUGCGCAGAUAUCGGGAAGAACACCCGUGGCGAAGGCGGCUCUCUGGGACGGUACUGACGCUGAGACGCGAAAGCGUGGGGAGCAAACAGG